rnacentral:rRNA from 1 species
UACGUAGGGGGCAAGCGUUGUCCGGAAUCAUUGGGCGUAAAGAGCGUGUAGGCGGCCAGAAAAGUCCGCUGUGAAAACUCGAGGCUCAACUUCGAGCUGUCGGUGGAAACUUUCUGGCUAGAGUCCGGAAGAGGAGAAUGGAAUUCCUGGUGUAGCGGUGAAAUGCGCAGAUAUCAGGAAGAACACCGGUGGCGAAGGCGGUCUCUGGCGU